rnacentral:lncRNA from 1 species
AAAAGAGGAAAAGAAGAAGGAAAAAUGAAAAAGAAAAAAAGGAAAAGAAGAAAAUAAUUAGAAGAAGAAGGAAAAGAAGAAGGAAAAGAAGAAGGAGAAGGAGAAGAAGAAGAAGAAGAAGAAGAAGAGGAGGAGGAGAAAAAAAGAAGAAGAAGAAGAAUAAGAGGAGGAGGAGGAGGAGAAAGAAGAAGAAGAAGAAGAAUAAGAAUAAGAAGAAGAAGAAGAAGAGGAGGAGGAGGAGGAGGAGGAGAAAAAAAA